rnacentral:tRNA from 1 species
GGGUCUCUAGUCCAACGGCAGAGACGGCAGCUUCAAAACCUGCACAGUCCCGGUUCGAAUCCGGGGAGACCCACUA